GGGCAGACUAGAGUGAUGUAGGGGAGACUGGAAUUCCUGGUGUAGCGGUGAAAUGCGCAGAUAUCAGGAGGAACCCCGAUGGCGAAGGCAGGUCUCUGGGCAUUAACUGACGCUGAGGAGCGAAAGCAUGGGGAGCGAACAGGAUUAGAUACCCUGGUAGUCCAUGCCGUAAACGUUGGGCACUAGGUGUGGGGGACAUUNCACGUUNUCCGCGCCGUAGCUAACGCAUUAAGUGCCCCGCCUGGGGAGUACGGCCGCAAGGCUAAAACUCAAAGGAAUUGACGGGGGCCCGCACAAGCGGCGGAGCAUGCGGAUUAAUUCGAUGCAACGCGAAGAACCUUACCAAGGCUUGACAUGAACCGGAAACACCUGGAAACAGGUGCCCCGCUUGCGGUCGGUUUACAGGUGGUGCAUGGUUGUCGUCAGCUCGUGUCGUGAGAUGUUGGGUUAAGUCCCGCAACGAGCGCAACCCUCGUUCUAUGUUGCCAGCGCGUUAUGGCGGGGACUCAUAGGAGACUGCCGGGGUCAACUCGGAGGAAGGUGGGGACGACGUCAAAUCAUCAUGCCCCUUAUGUCUUGGGCUUCACGCAUGCUACAAUGGCCGGUACAAAGGGUUGCGAUACUGUGAGGUGGAGCUAAUCCCAAAAAGCCGGUCUCAGUUCGGAUUGGGGUCUGCAACUCGACCCCAUGAAGUCGGAGUCGCUAGUAGUCGCAGAUCAGCAACGCUGCGGUGAAUACGUUCCCGGGCCUUGUACACACCGCCCGUCAAGUCACGAAAGUUGGUAACACCCGAAGCCGGUGGCCUAACCCCUUGUGGGAGGGAGCUGUCGAAGGUGGGACUGGCGAUUGGGGUGAAGUCGUAACAAGGUAACC
rnacentral:rRNA from 1 species